UACAGAGGUCCCAAGCGUUGUUCGGAUUCACUGGGCGUAAAGGGUGCGUAGGUGGCUUGGUAAGUUUGAUGUGAAAUCUCCGGGCUUAACCCGGAAAUGGCAUUGAAUACUAUUGAGCUGGAGGUUUGGAGGGGGGACUGGAAUUCUCGGUGUAGCAGCGAAAUGCGUAGAUAUCGAGAGGAACACCAGUGGCGAAGGCGAGUCCCUGGACAACACCUGACACUGAGGCACGAAAGCUAGGGGAGCAAACAGG
rnacentral:rRNA from 1 species